rnacentral:rRNA from 1 species
GACGAACGCUGGCGGCGUGCUUAACACAUGCAAGUCGAACGGUGAAGCGCCUUCCUUUUUGGUGGGUGUGGAUGAGUGGCGAACGGGUGAGUAACACGUGAGUAACCUGCCCCCUUCUUCUGGAUAACCGCAUGAAAGUGUGGCUAAUACGGGAUAUUCUGGGUCUGUCGCAUGAUGGGUCUGGGAAAGAUAUUGUUUCGGUGGGGGAUGGGCUCGCGGCCUAUCAGCUUGUUGGUGGGGUGAUGGCCUACCAAGGCGGUGACGGGUAGCCGGCCUGAGAGGGUGGACGGUCACACUGGGACUGAGACACGGCCCAGACUCCUACGGGAGGCAGCAGUGGAGAAUAUUGCACAAUGGGGGCAAGCCUGAUGCAGCGACGCCGCGGGAGGGAUGGAGGCCUUCGGGUUGUGAACCUCUUUCGCCAGUGAAGCAGGCCUGCCUCGUUUGUGGGUGGGUUGACGGUAGCUGGAUAAGAAGCGCCGGCUAACUACGUG